rnacentral:rRNA from 1 species
GUAGGUGGCGAGCGUUAUCCGGAAUCAUUGGGCGUAAGGGUGCGUAGGUGGCACGAUAAGUCUGUAGUAAAAGGCAGCGGCUCAACCGCUGUUGGCUUUGGAAACUGUCGAGCUGGAGUGCAGAAGAGGGCGAUGGAAUUCCAUGUGUAGCGGUAAAAUGCGUAGAUAUAUGGAGGAACACCAGUGGCGAAGGCGGCCGCCUGGUCUGCAACUGACACUGAAGCACGAAAGCGUGGGGAGCAAAUAGGAUUAGAUACCCUGGUAGUCCAUGCCGUAAACGAUGAUUACUAGGUGUUGGAGGAUUGACCCCUUCAGUGCCGCAGUUAACACAAUAAGUAAUCCACCUGGGGAGUACGACCGCAAGGUUG